UCGCCAGGACGCAGGCAGUCUCCCAGCGAACCCCGGUAGGGUGGCGUAAUGCGCAGCGGGGCAGCUGCCACACACGUAUUGCCCCAGUGAGCACCGACGUUUUCUGCAGUCGCUGUCACCACGUUGAGCCCGCGCUCCGCACCUACACUAGGACUCCGCACUCUUAGCUCAACAUACGGGCAGUGCUCUAGGAGAGGCCUAGCAACCUAGGAAAACCGUGGUGAGAGACCUUCUGGCGGCGAAGGCAGGCGCAGACGCUACCCAGCAGGCUGUGCGAGCCCCUACAACUCCCAUCAUGCUCCGCGGGUGACUGCGGAAAUCCUAGCAGAAUAAUCGGUAACUCGUCACCUCUGCUCAUAUUCAUCUUAACAGAGUUCCUUGGAGUGUCCAUGGGUUUUGUUUCCAGAGCCUUUCAACCCCAGAAGCAAAAGCGCAAUAGCCGAAUAGCUAAAAUUCCCGAAGAAGCGUGGCUUCUGGACCGGAAGACGUUCGUGUUGCCAAGGAAACCCCGCGCGCUAAGGCGCCUGCUCCGCAACUGAUGCUCAAGAGGAGACUGAAGCCGCCAGUUCCCCUAGCUUGUGGAGGCGACUCUGCGCUGGACAAGGAAUCUUUCCUAUGGAGGCGUAGAGAAAAAGGCUGAAGCACCAGAUUUCCAUCCCACAGGCGGUUAGCAAACUCUGAAAACAAAUUAACCGUACCCAGUCUUGGUAAGAAAACAACAAAUUGAAAGUUGUACCCACUGUUGCUACUUUCUAAAUAUUUGAAUCAUAUUAUGGGAUUGCUAGACAGACUUUCAGGCUUUCUUGGCCUGAGGAAGAAGGAGGUUCAUGUUUUGUGCCUUGGACUAGAUAACAGUGGCAAAACAACAAUCAUUAACAAACUGAAACCUUCCAAUGCUCAGUCUCAAGAUAUAGUUCCAACUAUAGGAUUCAGCAUAGAGAAGUUCAAGUCAUCCAGUUUGUCUUUUACAGUGUUUGACAUGUCAGGUCAAGGAAGAUACAGAAAUCUCUGGGAACACUAUUAUAAAGAAGGACAAGCCAUUAUUUUUGUCAUUGAUAGUAGUGAUACAUUAAGAAUGGUUGUGGCUAAAGAAGAACUUGAUACUCUUUUAAAUCAUCCAGAUAUUAAACAUCGUCGAAUUCCAAUUUUAUUCUUUGCAAACAAAAUGGACCUUAAAGAUGCAGUAACAUCUGUAAAAGUGUCUCAGUUGCUGUGCUUAGAGAAUAUCAAAGAUAAACCAUGGCAUAUUUGUGCUAGUGAUGCCAUAAAAGGAGAAGGAUUACAAGAAGGUGUAGACUGGCUUCAAGCCGUUGCAGUCAGGCCACUGGGUGUCAGUAAUGAUCCAACACAGGAGUACCAACAACCAAGUCUUGAUCAGAUCCAAGGUGCGAAGACAUGAAAAGUUAGCAUCUGGAAAUCUCAGCAAUUUUGAAUUGAAUGAAUAUACCAAAGGCAAACUGAAUAAAUUUGUUAAAAGAUGUGCAUGCAUCCAAGAAUGUGACAUUCUGCCUGCAUUUAUGGAUUCUAAAUGAGCUUUUUAAGAACACAAGGCAUCAGGCAUGCUACUCUGGCUAUUAAUAAUAGGAAAACUAAAUCUUCCCUCAAAAGGACGCCCUAGAUUUAACAACUUCUUGCUCAGAAGAAUACAUAAGACUUCAAUCUUCUUGCUGGAGGAUCAAAAAGGAAAACCUCACAGGACUGAAAAUUUCCAGGACAUUGGAGAAAGAGAUUGUCAAAGCAACCCCAUAAAGUAAUUCAUGGGCUUCUAGGAUUGACCUCAUCAUGCAUAUGAAUCCCAAACUCACUUUAAAAAGUGGACAGUGUACAAGAUAUAUUUGGUAAUGCCAUCCCCAGGUUGGCCACUUGGUAUAAAGAGCAACAGUUUUGAAAACAGAAGUAUCAUUACAAUUAAGGGCAGGAAUAGAGCUCCAUGGCAUUGCACCUGCUUGGCAAGUGCAAAGUCCUGAAAAAUUAAAAAGCGACAAAUUAUGUUGAAACUAUUGACCUGAAACCAACAAGCUUGAAUCUUGUUUUAAAAAUGAUCAGCAUCUCAUAGAAUUUAAAUAGUCUGAAUGGAAAAUAAUAUUCCAAAUGUCCAAAAAAUAAUCCAUUGUUGCUACAUACUCUAUACAGAAAAAAAAAAAAAAAUUGGAAAAGAAAAGGCAAAAAGCCUCAGAAUUGACCUUUAAUGACAAGGACAUUAAAACAGCUCUUACAAGAAUGAUCAAAGUAAAGAACAGAACAAAUGGAGAAAUGUUAACAUAAAACAUAGCAAAGAAAAUGAAAAUUUGAGGACUAAAAUAUACCUGGAAUAAAGUCUCAUUGGAAGAUUUUACUGCAAAAUGGAAAUGAAAGACUUUAGAAACUUGAUGACAAAUUAGAAAUCAAUCUAAAUAUCUAGAAAAACUGACUUAAGAAUCUUAGGGACUUGUGAAUAUUAAACAGUCCACAUUUAUCAAAUCAAAACUCUUAAAAAGAAAAAACUAGAGUGUAUAAAAAGUAUUUGAAAUCAUUUCAGCUAAAGUUUUCAAAUUGGAUGAAGCACUCAGGCAUAGGUCAACAGUAUGUUGCCUCUUAGUAUAAAAAUUAAAGAAGCUAGUGGGAUCCAUUUUGUACAAUACAUUCUGUGAAAGUAAAAGGGGAGGGACUGUCUAAAUAGGAAAGGCAAUGGCCAUUGUUAAUUAUCGUUAUUUGAAACCCAUAUUGUUUUUGUUGUUCUGUUUAGUUUGGUUUUAUUCUGUUUCAGUUUGUCUAAUCGUAUUAUAUUUGAUGGCAUGGACAGCUAUUUCAAAGAUAACAAAAUAUAUUAUGGUAGCCAUUUUUUAUUUCUUAUUAGCUUGAUUUGAAGCUCUGUAUUGCUUUCAUUGUUUUGUUUGAAUGAUUUUAUUCUAUUUUGUUUUGUUUGAUUAUAUCAUGUCUAAUAGUAUAGGCAACUACUUUAAAGACAGUAAGAUGCAUUAUGAUACCCAUUGUGGUUUUACUAUUCUUUUGAAGUCCUAUACUGUUUCCAUUGUUUUGUUUUUAUUGGUUUUAUUCUGUACUAUUUUGUUUGAUUUUAUUAUGCCUGAUGAUAUGGGCAAUUCUUCUAAAGAUAAUAAGAGGCAUUAUGGUAGCCAUUGUUGAUCUCCUUGUAUUUUGUUUUUAUGUCAGGUACUAUGUUCAUCUUUUUGUUUUGAUUGACUCUAUUCUGUUUUGUUUCAUUUGGUUUUAUUCUCUUCAAAAUAAAAAAAUUUAAAUUAGAAAA